UACGGAGGGUGCAAGCGUUAAUCGGAAUUACUGGGCGUAAAGCGUGCGCAGGCGGUUUGUUAAGUCCGCUGUGAAAUCCCCGAGCUCAACUUGGGAAUUGCAGUGGAUACUGGCAAGCUGGAGUAUGGUAGAGGAAGGUGGAAUUCCCGGUGUAGCAGUGAAAUGCGUAGAGAUCGGGGGGAACACCAGUGGCGAAGGCGGCCUUCUGGACCAAUACUGACGCUCAUGCACGAAAGCGUGGGGAGCAAACAGG
rnacentral:rRNA from 1 species